rnacentral:lncRNA from 1 species
UUGGAUUUGCAUUAAAUCAGCAUGAGAUAUAUUUUUAUGUUAUUUGUAGUAUUGUUCUUGAAAAUUAAAUAAUAUCUGAAUAUCUGGUAGAGAUACUUGUUACUUACUGGGCUGUCUAGCUCAUUACCUUUCUUUCUAUUUUUCAGAUUCAGAUAAUUAAUUUCGAACGUGGGAAGAAAUAUUGGGACAGAGCUUUUAGAGGCGAG